rnacentral:rRNA from 1 species
AGUGGCGAACGGGUGAGUAACACGUGGGCAAUCUGCCCUUCACUCUGGGACAAGCCCUGGAAACGGGGUCUAAUACCGGAUAACACUCUGUCCCGCAUGGGACGGGGUUAAAAGCUCCGGCGGUGAAGGAUGAGCCCGCGGCCUAUCAGCUUGUUGGUGGGGUGAUGGCCUACCAAGGCGACGACGGGUAGCCGGCCUGAGAGGGCGACCGGCCACACUGGGACUGAGACACGGCCCAGACUCCUACGGGAGGCAGCAGUGGGGAAUAUUGCACAAUGGGCGAAAGCCUGAUGCAGCGACGCCGCGUGAGGGAUGACGGCCUUCGGGUUGUAAACCUCUUUCAGCAGGGAAGAAGCGAGAGUGACGGUACCUGCAGAAGAAGCGCCGGCUAACUACGUGCCAGCAGCCGCGGUAAUACGUAGGGCGCAAGCGUUGUCCGGAAUUAUUGGGCGUAAAGAGCUCGUAGGCGGCUUGUUGCGUCGGUUGUGAAAGCCCGGGGCUUAACCCCGGGUCUGCAGUCGAUACGGGCAGGCUAGAGUGUGGUAGGGGAGAUCGGAAUUCCUGGUGUAGCGGUGAAAUGCGCAGAUAUCAGGAGGAACACCGGUGGCGAAGGCGGAUCUCUGGGCCAUUACUGACGCUGAGGAGCGAAAGCGUGGGGAGCGAACAGGA